UAAGCAAGCCUGCCAAGUAUCAAUACAACCUGCAAAAUAUUUUGAAAACCUAGUUCGUUAAAAAGAGCAUUAGUACAAUAUCAGUCAAACAUAUCAGACAAAUAUUACUAAUUUCAAUAAUACCUUUGAAGCCGAAAUUUGUUCAUGGUUGCAAAUACCCAUAUUGAUCCAAUUUCAAAAGGUUGAAUCUCCUAUAUUUUUCCCAUCUUCUGCUUACAUAGUUGUGAAUUGUAUAUGUUACAAAAAUUCACUCAACCUUUCCAGGCCACACUUUAUGCCUUACAUUAAUAGUAAUUUUAACAUUUUAAAAUUUCACUACGCACAACCAUAUAAAGAAUACAAAAUGAUUUCAUUCAAAAGGGUGACCAAGAGUAAUAUUAUCUCUCAACAAAAGUAUAAA
rnacentral:lncRNA from 1 species